UCUGCAGUCUGCAGCCUCCUUCGCCAGCCCUCCCACCCCCAAACCCCAUUUUUCUCGCUGACGCCGAGAAUCCACAGCCUCCAGUCAACGCGCUGUUCACUGCCCAGCACGGUCUGGACGUUGUACCGCAGCGUACGCUGUCGAGCGCCCUCUUCAUUACCAACCUCAAGGUCUCUCAUAUUUCCUUGCUUCAGAGCCAAACAUUGCUCUAGCAGAUUCUAGGCAAUAUGACUUCCUGCUGUAUCCUUUCCAUACUUAAAGAGUCUCUGAGCUGGGGGUCAGGGAGAGGCAGAUGUGCACCCCUCCUCCCCCUUCCCACAAUUUAAGAUGCAGGGAGGUGUAGGAAGUUACAGUCUUGAAGACCUUGGCUGAGGGUUUGGUGCAAACAGGACAGGACUUGACUUUGCUGACAGUAAAAGACACGCACAAGUGUGAGAAUUACGUUGGUUUGUUGUUUAAACAAACAAUUGCAAAAUCAUGCAACAUAAUCCUGAGUAGGUUUUGAUGUGGUUUGUGCCUGGAGAGGAGCCACACUCCACCGAUCUACCUGCAUAGUGUACCUGAUGCUGUUACAGCCCGUUCUACUGGGACCCGCAGCCUGUGUUCCCUAAUGUCUUCACCUCUCCUCUGGGCCACUUGAAGAGGCUUCCAGCUCCUUGGAAGUCAGAACUUGAUUCUGCACUUAUAAAGAAGAAAGAAAGAGAAAGAAAGAAAGAAAAAAAGAAACAAACAACAGAUAUGGAUUUUAAAUAACUGAGUAAAAGAAGAAGAAAGGAUGAAGGGACAGAUAGGAAGUGUUAAAAAAAAAAAAAAGACUAUUAGGUUG